UGUGUGUGUGCGCGCGCUGUAUAUAUGUUGUGUCAAGACUGGGUUUGUUUUCUUUACAGUUUGUCUCUCUGCUGUGGACUUUGAAUGCUGCAACAAGCACACGAGAAAAACUCCACUGGACUCUCCACCAGCACUCAAAUCCACAUCAGGAUUACUUGAAUAUCAAGGACCUGCCCACAUAAAAGAUCUGUCCUUUCUCACAACCUGGAAGCAAGAAGUUCAUGAAUCCCAUUUACUUUCAACACCAGCCGCUCAUCUGCUGUCACCGACCAUUUGAUGAAGAGCAAAGACGGAAGACAUCCUGACUACUAACAACGGCUUUCAGAGAGAGAUGGAGUGAUCUGGGGGCCCUACUGCCAACAUGCUUCACAAGUAACACACAGCCUUGAAAUUCCUCCACCACUGAAGCCUUGAGUGUGGCUCAAUGUAACAAUGUUAGGAUACCUCUCAGGCUGUACUCCUAUACACAAGUAGGCCCACUACAAAUUUGUAUCCAGCACGGUCAUCACACAAGUUUCGUUUUUUUACCUGUUCAGUGAAAUUUCCAAAAGAAACAUUGAUUUAUAGUAUUUUAACAUUUCCUUACAUUUCCAUUACAUUACUUUAGGUUAUUCUUCACAUGGGGUUGGAAACAAACAAAUAAUGUUUUCCUUUUACAAUAUUGAAAUGGUGAAUAUUUAACCGUGUUGAAUUGUAUUAAGAAUAAAUUCUAUGACUCUAUAAGACACAUUCUAUAAGUAUUACACAUAUAAAGUUUACUGCACAUACAUUACAGAAAAAAAAUACAUUCCAAUGAGGGUAGCAAACUUAAAUUAUAUAACUGGUUUUAAAUACAGUAAAGACAUUGGCUUAAUAUUUUAUCUUGCCUACAGAGCACAGUGGUAUUACCUGUAAUUUAGAGAUCAUGCUCAUUUGCAAACAUCACAUGUGCUGCUGGGAAACAUCAAUUAUCUGAUCUCUAUUACAGCACAGCCAGCUAGAUGCUGUCUUUCUUCAACCAGGUAGAACAAGCAAAACUAUGUCAUCAUUUGACAAAGUGCACUGCAGUCUGACUUAAUGAAACAACAUGCUAACUUUUGCUGCCUCAUUAUUUUAAUGUUUAGGAGGUCAUUAAAAUAAAUGAAUUACUUAAUAUGAUUUUAUUAUUUGUUAAUGCUAAAGUUCAGAACAAUACAAAUCAAUUGUUAGAUAUUCUAAUGAAGCAGAUACAGUCUUUUCAUUCUUAUUCUUAAUUCAGCUUUUCUGAAGAAUGGCCAAGCAAGGAUUUACAUGACUUCCAUGACUGUACUGUUUAUAAUUCCUAAAUGUUAUAUUUCCUGGAAUAUAUUGAAUAUAUAUUGCUACUCUUUACUGCAAUCAACGAUGGUGUAAUAAAAUAUAUAUUUAUAUAUUUAUAUAA